UACGAAGGGUGCAAGCGUUACUCGGAAUUACUAGGCGUAAAGCGUGCGUAGGUGGUUCGUUAAGUCUGAUGUGAAAGCCCUGGGCUCAACCUGGGAAUGGCAUUGGAAACUGGCGACCUAGAGUGCGGUAGAGGGUAGUGGAAUUCCCGGUGUAGCAGUGAAAUGCGUAGAGAUCGGGAGGAACAUCUGUGGCGAAGGCGACUACCUGGACCAGCACUGACACUGAGGCACGAAAGCGUGGGGAGCAAACAGG
rnacentral:rRNA from 1 species